AAAGUCACAAAAAUAACCCUUAAUGUUUUAUCAAAAGUCACAAACUUAGGGUUUAAAGUUAAAGGGUGGGGUUUAGGAUUUAGGGUUUAGGGUUUAGAGUUUAGGGUUUAGGGUUUAGAGUUUAGGGUUUAUGGUUUAGAGUUGAGAAAUGAGGUUUUGGGGAUAAGAUUUCAAAUUUUGAAAAAUAAAAAAAUUAAAAUUUUCAAAUGAUAAACUUAGAAAGGUGUUAUUUUGGUCAUUUUAGUUUUUGAGUGCUAUUUUUGUGAUAUAAACUUAGAAAUGUGAUAUUUAGGAGAUUUGCCCAUCAUGUACCGAUAACGAAUAUAAA
rnacentral:lncRNA from 1 species